rnacentral:rRNA from 1 species
UACGGAGGAUGCGAGCGUUAUCCGGAUUUAUUGGGUUUAAAGGGUGCGUAGGCGGACUGUCAAGUCAGCGGUAAAAUACGGGGGCUCAACCUCCGCCCGCCGUUGAAACUGACGGUCUUGAGUGGCGAGAAGUAUGCGGAAUGCGUGGUGUAGCGGUGAAAUGCAUAGAUAUCACGCAGAACUCCGAUUGCGAAGGCAGCAUACCGGCGCCCAACUGACGCUGAAGCACGAAAGCGUGGGUAUCGAACAGG